AAAAAAAAAAGAAAAAGAAAAAAAAAAUAUUUGGGGUGUUCUGGCUUCCUGAAGGUAAAACCCGGGUAUUAGGUUAUGGGGCUAUAAUAAUGUUUAAGGUUUUUGGCGUGAGGGUUAAAAUCAGUGUCCAAAACCAUUGUAGGAACUCUUUUCCAACCAUUUGGAGUUAGUUAGACCAAAAAAAAAAAGAAAAAAGAAAAAAAAAACUUUGGGGUUUUCGGGCUUCCUGAAGGUAAUACCUGGGUAUUAGGUUAUGGGGCUAGGGUAAGGUUUAAGGUUUUUGGCGUUAGGGUUAAAAUCACUGUCCAAAACCUUUGUAGGAACUCUUUUCCAACCUUUUGGAGUUAGUUAGACCAAAAAUAAUGAAAAAUGAAAAAAAUAUAUUUGGGGUCUUCGGGCUUCCUGAAGGUAAUACCCAGGUAUUGGGUUUUGGGGCUAGGGUAAGGUUUAAGGUUUCUGGCGUUAGGGUUAAAAUCACUGUCCAAAACCUUUGUAGGAACUCUUUUCCAACCUUUUGGAGUUAGUUAGACCAAAAAAAAAUGAUUAAUUGAAAAAAAAAUAUUUGGGGUGUUCGGGCUUCCUUAUUAGUAUUAGUUUAUGGGGCUUUGGAAAGGUUUAAGGUUUUUGGCAUUAGGGUUAAAAUCAGUGUCCAAAACCUUUGUAGGAACUCUUUUCCAACCUUUUGGAGUUAGUUAGACCAAAAAAAAAAAUGAAAAAGGAAAAAAGAAUUGGGGGUUUUCGGGCUUCCUGAUGGUAAUAGUAUUAGGUUAUGGGGCUAUGGUAAGGUUUAAGGUUUUUGGCGUUAGGGUUAAAAUCACUGUCCAAAACCUUUGCAGGAACUCUUUUCCAACCUUUUGGAGUUAGUUAGUCCAAAAAAAAAUGAAAAAUGAAAAAAAAAUAUUUGGGGUCUCCGGGCUUCCUUAUUAGUAUUAGGUUAUGGGGCUUUGGAAAGUUUUAAGGUUUUUGGCGUUAGAGUUAAAAUCAGUGUCCAAAACCUUUUAGGAACAUGUUUCAGACCUUUUGGAAUUAGUAAGACCAAAAAAAAACCAAAAAUGAAAAAAAAAUAUUUGGGGUGUUCGGGCUUCCUGAAGGUAAUACCCGGGUAUUAGGUUUUGGGGCUAGGGUAAGGUUUAAGGUUUUUGGCGUUAGGGUUAAAAUCACUGUCCAAAACCUUUGUAGGAACUCUUUUCCAACCUUUUGGAGUUAGCUAGACCAAAAAAAAAUGAAAAAUGAAAAAAAAAUAUUUGGGGACCCAGGCUUCCUGAAGGUAAUACCCUGGUACUAGAUUUUUGGGCUAGGGUAAGGUUUAAGGUUUUUGGUGUUAGGGUUAAAUCACUGUCCAAAACCUUUGUAAGAACUCUUUUCCAACGUUUUGGAGUUAGUUAGUCCAAAAAAAAAUGAAAAAUGAAAAAAAAAUAUUUGGGGUUUUCGGGCUUCCUGAAGGUAAUACCCGGUAAGGUAAUACCCUAGGUUAUGGGGCUAGGGUAAGGUUUAAGGUUUUUGGCGUUAGAGUUAAAAUUACUGUCCAAAACCUUUGUAAGAACUCUUUUCCAACCUUUUGGAGUUAGUUAGUCCAAAAAAAAAUGAAAAAUGAAAAAAAAAUAUUUGGGGUCUUCGGGCUUCCUUAUUAGUAUUAGGUUAUGGGGCUUUGGAAAGUUUUAAGGUUUUUGGCGUUAGAGUUAAAAUCAGUGUCCAAAACCUUUUUAGGAACAUGUUUCAGACCUUUUGGAGUUUGUUACACAAAAAAAAAUGUAAAAUGAAAAAAAAAUAUUUGGGGUGUUCGGGCUUCCUGAAGGUAAUACCCUGUGUUACGCCCCAGUCUAGGGGUGUCUAGGGCACAACAUGAGAAGGCCUCAUCUUCCCCAAGUCCCAAGUAGCCACAACAACCGAGAUUCAGUUCAAUUUAAGGACACAGAUUUAUUUACAUAAAUCAAUAAAUAACAAAAAGAUAUAGACAAAAAACUAAGGCUGAAGGACUAGGCUUCAGGGUGGACUAAGUCCAAAACAACAACCAAAAAUGAUCCUGUCUGUGGUGUAAGUCCUUACCUAACCAAAACAAAGGAAACAAAUGACAAAGACUUACCUCCCUAACUAAAAUACACAGGAGAAAAUAAGGUUAACAAAACUGGCAGUCCACCCCUACUACUAAAGAAAAACACAACACAAUACACCAUGUUCUAAAGCUGCAAAUAGGGUGGCCUGUUGGGAGAGGAGGAGGAUGAGGAAUGCCUGGCCUCUGCACCUGGUGGCUGCCAUCUUGGUUCCUGAUAUAGUUGGUCUCAGCCAAUCACCAUCCAGAACGUAGACCAACCCACCAAUGACCGCGUUGCUGUGGCACACACCUAUUUGCAUACAAGAUUGACACAAGAAAAAACAGGGCACACACACACACACAGCAGACAGUCCACAAAUUAUGACCACAGUCAUAACACCUGGUAUUAGGUUAUGGGGCUAUGGUAAGGUUUAAGGUUUUUGGCGUUAGAGUUAAAAUCAGUGUCCAAAACCUUUUUAGGAACAUGUUUCAGACCUUUUGGAAUUAGUAAGACCAAAAAAAAACCAAAAAUGAAAAAAAAAUAUUUGGGGUUUUCGGGCUCCCUGAAGGUAAUACCCGGGUAUUAGGUUUUGGGGCUAGGGUAAGGUUUAAGGUUUUUGGCGUUAGGGUUAAAAUCACUGUCCAAAACCUUUGUAGGAACUCUUUUCCAACCUUUUGGAGUUAGUUAGACCAAAAAAAAACCAAAAAUGAAAAAAAAAUAUUUGGGGUCUUCGGGCUUCCUGAAGGUAAUACCCGGGUAUUGGGUUUUGGGGCUAGGGUAAAGGUUUAAAGGUUUUUGGCGUUAGGGUUAAAAUCACUGUCCAAAACGUUUAUAGGAACUCUUUUCCAAUCUUUUGGAUUUAGUUUGACCAAAAAAAAAAAAAGAAAAAGAAAAAAAAAAUAUUUGGGGUGUUCUGGCUUCCUGAAGGUAAAACCCGGGUAUUAGGUUAUGGGGCUAUAAUAAUGUUUAAGGUUUUUGGCGUGAGGGUUAAAAUCAGUGUCCAAAACCAUUGUAGGAACUCUUUUCCAACCAUUUGGAGUUAGUUAGACCAAAAAAAAAAGAAAAAAGAAAAAAAAAUAUUUGGGGUUUUCGGGCUUCCUGAAGGUAAUACCUGGGUAUUAGGUUAUGGGGCUAGGGUAAGGUUUAAGGUUUUUGGCGUUAGGGUUAAAAUCACUGUCCAAAACCUUUGUAGGAACUCUUUUCCAACCUUUUGGAGUUAGUUAGACCAAAAAUAAUGAAAAAUGAAAAAAAAAUAUUUGGGGUCUUCGGGCUUCCUGAAGGUAAUACCCAGGUAUUGGGUUUUGGGGCUAGGGUAAGGUUUAAGGUUUCUGGCGUUAGGGUUAAAAUCACUGUCCAAAACCUUUGUAGGAACUCUUUUCCAACCUUUUGGAGUUAGUUAGACCAAAAAAAAAUGAUUAAUUGAAAAAAAAAUAUUUGGGGUGUUCGGGCUUCCUUAUUAGUAUUAGUUUAUGGGGCUUUGGAAAGGUUUAAGGUUUUUGGCAUUAGGGUUAAAAUCAGUGUCCAAAACCUUUGUAGGAACUCUUUUCCAACCUUUUGGAGUUAGUUAGACCAAAAAAAAAAAUGAAAAAGGAAAAAAGAAUUGGGGGUUUUCGGGCUUCCUGAUGGUAAUAGUAUUAGGUUAUGGGGCUAUGGUAAGGUUUAAGGUUUUUGGCGUUAGGGUUAAAAUCACUGUCCAAAACCUUUGCAGGAACUCUUUUCCAACCUUUUGGAGUUAGUUAGACCAAAAAAAAUGAAAAAUGAAAAAAAAAUAUUUGGGGUGUUCGGGCUUCCUGAAGGUAAUACCCGGGUAUUAGGUUUUGGGGCUAGGGUAAGGUUUAAGGUUUUUGGCGUUAGGGUUAAAAUCACUGUCCAAAACUUUUGUAGGAACUCUGUUCCAACCUUUUGGAGUUAGUUAGACUAAAAAAAAAAAAAAAAAUGAAAAAAAAAUAUUUGGGGUCUUCGGGCUUCCUGAAGGUAAUACCCAGGUAUUGGGUUUUGGGGCUAGGGUAAGGUUUAAGGUUUCUGGCGUUAGGGUUAAAAUCACUGUCCAAAACCUUUGUAGGAACUCUUUUCCAACCUUUUGGAGUUAGUUAGACGAAAAAAAAAUGAAAAAUGAAAAAAAAAUAUUUGGGGUGUUCUGGCUUCCUGAAGGUAAUACCCGGGUAUUAGGUUAUGGGGCUAUAAUAAGGUUUAAGGUUUUUGGCGUGAGGGUUAAAAUCAGUGUCCAAAACCAUUGUAGGAACUCUUUUCCAACCUUUUGGAGUUAGUUAGACCAAAAAAAAUGAAAAAUGAAAAAAAAAUAUUUGGGGUGUUCGGGCUUCCUGAAGGUAAUACCCAGGUAUUGGGUUUUGGGGCUAGGGUAAGGUUUAAGGUUUCUGGCGUUAGGGUUAAAAUCACUGUCCAAAACCUUUGUAGGAACUCUUUUCCAACCUUUUGGAGUUAGUUAGACCAAAAAAAAAUGAUUAAUUGAAAAAAAAAUAUUUGGGGUGUUCGGGCUUCCUUAUUAGUAUUAGUUUAUGGGGCUUUGGAAAGGUUUAAGGUUUUUGGCAUUAGGGUUAAAAUCACUGUCCAAAACCUUUGUAGGAACUCUUUUCCAACCUUUUGGAGUUAGUUAGACCAAAAAAAAAUGAUUAAUUGAAAAAUAAAUAUUUGGGGUGUUCGGGCUUCCUUAUUAGUAUUAGUUUAUGGGGCUUUGGAAAGGUUUAAGGUUUUUGGCAUUAGGGUUUAAAUCACUGUCCAAAACCUUUGUAGGAACUCUUUUCCAACCUUUUGGAGUUAGUUAGACCAAAAAAAAAUGAUUAAUUGAAAAAUAAAUAUUUGGGGUGUUCGGGCUUCCUUAUUAGUAUUAGUUUAUGGGGCUUUGGAAAGGUUUAAGGUUUUUGGCAUUAGGGUUAAAAUCACUGUCCAAAACCUUUGUAGGAACUCUUUUCCAACCUUUUGGAGUUAGUUAGACCAAAAAAAAAAUGAAAAAGGAAAAAAAAAUUUUGGGGGUUUUCGGGCUUCCUGAAGGGAAUACCCGGGUAUUAGGUUAUGGGGCUAUGGUAAGGUUUAAGGUUUUUGGCUUUAGGGUUAAAAUCACUGUCCAAAACCUUUGCAGGAACUCUUUUCCAACCUUUUGGAGUUAGUUAGACCAAAAAAAAUGAAAAAUGAAAAAAAAAUAUUUGGGGUGUUCGGGCUUCCUGAAGGUAAUACCCGGGUAUUAGGUUUUGGGGCUAGGUUAAGGUUUAAGGUUUUUGGCGUUAGGGUUAAAAUCACUGUCCAAAACCUUUGUAGGAACUCUUUUCCAACCUUUUGGAGUUAGUUUGACCAAAAAAAAAAUGAAAAAUGAAAAAAAAAUAUUUGGGGUGUUCGGGCUUCCUGAAGGUAAUACCCGGGUAUUAGGUUAUGGGGCUAGGGUAAGGUUUAAGGUUUUUGCCGUGAGGGUUAAAAUCAGUGUCCAAAACCUUUGUAGGAACUCUUUUCCAACCUUUUGGAUUUAGUUUGACCAAAAAAAAAAAAUGAAAAAAAAAAUAUUUGGGGUGUUCGGGCUUCCUGAAGGUAAUACCCGGGUAUUAGGUUAUGGGGCUAGGGUAAGGUUUAAGGUUUUUGGCGUGAGGGUUAAAAUCACUGUCCAAAACCUUUGUAGGAACUCUUUUCCAACCUUUUGGAGUUAGCUAGACCAAAAAAAAAAAAAUGAAAAAUGAAAAAAAUAUAUAUUUGGGGUGUUCGGGCUUCCUUAUUAGUAUUAGGUUAUGGGGCUUUGGAAAGGUUUAAGGUUUUUGGUGUUAGGGUUAAAAUUACAGUCCAAAACCUUUGUAGGAACAUGUUUCAGACCUUUUGGAGUUGGUUACACAAAAAAAAAUGUAAAAUGAAAAAAAAAAUAUUUGGGGUGUUCGGGCUUCCUGAAGGUAAUACCCUGGUAUUAGGUUAUGGGGCUAUGGUAAGGUUUAAGGUUUUUGGCGUUAGAGUUAAAAUCAGUGUCCAAAACCUUUUUGGAACAUGUUUCAGACCUUUGGGAAUAAGUUAGACCAAAAAAAAAUGAAAAAUGAAAAAAAAAUAUUUGGGGUUUUCGGUCUUCCUGAAGGUAAUACCCAGGUAUUAGGUUUUGGGGCUAGGGUAAGGUUUAAGGUUUUUGGCGUUAGGGUUAAAAUCAAUGUCCAAAACCUUUGUAGGAACUCUUUUCCAACCUUUUGGAGUUAGUUAGACCAAAAAAAAAUGAAAAAUGAAAAAAAAAUAUUUGGGGUCUUCGGGCUUCCUGAAGGUAAUACCCGGGUAUUGGGUUUUUGGGCUAGGGUAAGGUUUAAGGUUUUUGGCGUUAGGGUUAAAAUUGAUGUCCAAAACCUCUUUAGAGACAUGUUUCAGACCUUUUGGAGUUGGUUACACCAAAAAAAAAAGAAAAAUGAAAAAGGAAUAUUUGGGGUGUUCGGGCUUCCUAAAAGUAAUACCCGGGUAUUAGGUUUUGGGGCUAGGGUAAGGUUUAAGGUAUUUGGCGUAGGGUUAAAAUCACAGUCCAAAACCUUUGUAGGAACAUGUUUCAGACCUUUUGGAGUUGGUUACACAAAAAAAAUGUAAAAUGAAAAAAAAAAUAUUUGGGGUGUUCGGGCUUCCUGAAGGUAAUACCCUGGUAUUAGGUUAUGGGGCUAUGGUAAGGUUUAAGGUUUUUGGCGUUAGAGUUAAAAUCAGUGUCCAAAACCUUUUUGGAACAUGUUUCAGACCUUUGGGAAUAAGUUAGACCAAAAAAAAUGAAAAAUGAAAAAAAAAUAUUUGGGGUUUUCGGUCUUCCUGAAGGUAAUACCCAGGUAUUAGGUUUUGGGGCUAGGGUAAGGUUUAAGGUUUUUGGCGUUAGGGUUAAAAUCACUGUCCAAAACCUUUGUAGGAACUCUUUUCCAACCUUUUGGAGUUAGUUAGACCAAAAAAAAAUGAAAAAUGAAAAAAAAAAAUUUGGGGUCUUCGGGCUUCCUGAAGGUAAUACCCGGGUAUUGGGUUUUUGGGCUAGGGUAAGGUUUAAGGUUUUUGGCGUUAGGGUUAAAAUUGAUGUCCAAAACCUCUUUAGAGACAUGCUUCAGACCUUUUGGAGUUGGUUACACCAAAAAAAAAAGAAAAAUGAAAAAAUAAUAUUUGGGGUGUUCGGGCUUCCUGAAAGUAAUACCCGGGUAUUAGGUUAUGGGGCUAUGGUAAGGUUCAAGGUUUUUGGCGUUAGGGUUAAAAUCACUGUCCAAAAGCUUUUUAGGAACAUGUUUCAGACCUUUUGGAGUUGGUUACACCAAAAAAAAAUGUAAAAUGAAAAAAUAUAUAUUUGGGGUGUUCGGGCUUCCUGAAGGUAAUACCCGGGUAUUAGGUUUUGGGGCUAGGGUAAGGUUUAAGGUAUUUGGCGUAGGGUUAAAAUCACUGUCCAAAACCUUUUUAGGAACCUGUUUCAGACCUUCUGGAGUUGGUUACACCAAAAAAAAUGUAAAAUGAAAAAAAGAUAUUUGGGGUGUUCGGGCUUCCUGAAGGUAAUACCCGGGUAUUAGUUCAUGGGGCUAUGGUAAGGUUUAAGGUUUUUGGCGUUAGAGUAAAAAUCACUGUCCAAAACCUUUGUAGGAACUCUUUUCCAACCUUUUGGAGUUAGUUAGACCAAAAAAAAUGUUAAAUGAAAAAAAAAUAUUGGGGGUUUUUGGGCUUCCUGAAGGAAAUACCCGGCUAUUAGGUUAUGGGGCUAGGGUAAGGUUUAAGGUUUUUGGCGUUAGGGUUAAAAUUACUGUCCAAAACCUUUGUAGGAACUCUUUUCCAACCUUUUGGAGUUAGUUAGACCAAAAAAAUAGAAAUAAAAAAUAUAUAUUGGGGGUUUUUGGGCUUCCUGAAGGUAAUACCCGGCUAUUAGGUUAUGGGGCUAGGGUAAGGUUUAAGGUUUUUGGCGUUAGGGUUAAAAUUACUGUCCAAAACCUUUGAAGGAACUCUUUUCCAACCUUUUGGAGUUAGUUAGACAAGAAAAAAAAGAAAAAAGGAAAAAAAAUAUUUGGGGUGUUCUGGCUUCCUGAAGGUAAUACCCAGGAUUAGGUUUUGGGGCUAGGGUAAGGUUUAAGGUAUUUGGCGUUAGGGUUAAAAUCACUGUCCAAAACCUUUUUAGGAACAUGUUUCAGACCUUAUGGAGUUGGUUACACCAAAAAAAAUGUAAAAUGAAAAAAAGAUAUUUGGGGUGUUCGGGCUUCCUGAAGGUAAUACCCGGGUAUUAGGUCAUGGGGUGUGGGUAAGGUUUAAGGUUUUUGGCGUUAGGGUUAAAAUCACUGUCCAAAACCUUUGUAGGAACUCUUUUCAUAACUUUUGGAGUUAGACCAAAAAAAAAAGAAAAAAGAAAAAAAAAAUUGUUGGGGAUUUCGCGCUUCCUGAAGGUAAUACCCGGGUAUUAGGUUAUGGGGCUAGGGUAUGGUUUAAGGUUUUUGGCGUUAGAGUUAAAAUCAGUGUCCUAAACCUUUUUAGGAACAUGUUUCAGACCUUUUGGAAUUAGUUAGACCAAAAAAUAACGAAAAUUGAAAAAAAAUAUUUUGGGUCUUCGGGCUUCCUGAAGGUAAUACCCGGGUAUUAGGUUUUGGGGCUAGGGUAAGGUUUAAGGUUUUUGACGUUAGGGUUAAAAUCACUGUCCAAAACCUUUGUAGGAACUCUUUUCCAACCUUUUGGAAUGAGUUAGACCAAAAAAAAAUGAAAAAUGGAAAAAAAAUAUUUGGGGUGUUCGAGCUUCCUGAAGGUAAUACACGGGUAUUAGGUUUUGGGGCUUUGGAAACGUUUGAGUCUUUCGGCGUUAGGGUUAAAAUCACUGUCCAAAUCCUUUGUAGGAACUCUUUUCCAACCUUUUGGAGUUAGUAAGACCAAAAAAAAUAAAAAUAAAAAAUAUAUAUUUGGGGUGUUCGGGCUUCCUGAAGGUAAUACCCGGGUAUUAGGUUAUGGGGCUAGGGUAAGGUUUAAGGUUUUUGGCGUUAGGGUUAAAAUCACUGUCCAAAACCUUUGUAGGAACUCUUUUCCAACCUUUCAGGGUUAGUUAGACCAAAAAAAAACAAAAAAUGAUAAAAAAAUAUUUGGGGUCUUCGGGCUUCCUGAAGGUAAUACCCGGGUAUUAGGUUUUGGGGCUAGGGUAAGGUUAAAGGUUUUUGGCGUUAGGGUUAAAAUCACUGUCCAAAACCUUUGUAGGAACUCUUUUCCAACCUUUUGGAUUUAGUUUGACCAAAAAAAAAAAGAAAAAUGAAAAAAAAAUAUAUUUGGGGUGUUCUGGGCUUCCUGAAGGUAAUACCCGGGUAUUAGGUUAUGGGGCUAUAAUAAGGUUUAAGGUUUUUGGCGUGAGGGUUAAAAUCAGUGUCCAAAACCAUUGUAGGAACUCUUUUCCAACCAUUUGGAGUUAGUUAGACCAAAAAAAAAAUGAAAAAGAAAAAAAAAACUUUGGGGUUUUCGGGCUUCCUGAAGGUAAUACCCGGGUAUUAGGUUAUGGGGCUAGGGUAAGGUUUAAGGUUUUUGGCGUUAGGGUUAAAAUCACUGUCCAAAACCUUUGUAGGAACUCUUUUCCAACCUUUUGGAGUUAGUUAGACCAAAAAUAAUGAAAAAUGAAAAAAAUAUAUUUGGGGUCUUCGGGCUUCCUGAAGGUAAUACCCGGGUAUUGGGUUUUGGGGCUAGGGUAAGGUUUAAGGUUUUUGGCGUUAGGGUUAAAAUCACUGUCCAAAACCUUUGUAGGAACUCUUUUCCAACCUUUUGGAGUUAGUUAGACCAAAAAAAAUGAUUAAUUAAAAAAAAAAAUAUUUGGGGUGUUCGGGCUUCCUUAUUAGUAUUAGUUUAUGGGGCUUUGGAAAGGUUUAAGGUUUUUGGCGUUAGGGUUAAAAUCACUGUCCAAAACCUUUGUAGGAACUCUUUUCCAACCUUUUGGAGUUAGUUAGACCAAAAAAAAAAAUGAAAAAGGAAAAAAAAAUUGGGGGUUUUCGGGCUUCCUGAUGGUAAUAGUAUUAGGUUAUGGGGCUAUGGUAAGGUUUAAGGUUUUUGGCGUUAGGGUUAAAAUCACUGUCCAAAACCUUUGUAGGAACUCUUUUCCAACCUUUUGGAGAUAGUUAGACCAAAAAAAAUGAAAAAUGAAAAAAAAAUAUUUGGGGUGUUCGGGCUUCCUGAAGGUAAUACCCGGGUAUUAGGUUUUGGGGCUAGGGUAAGGUUUAAGGUUUUUGGCGUUAGGGUUAAAAUCACUGUCCAAAACCUUUGUAGGAACUCUGUUCCAACCUUUUGGAGUUAGUUAGACUAAAAAAAAAAAAAAAAAUGAAAAAAAAAUAUUUGGGGUCUUCGGGCUUCCUGAAGGUAAUACCCAGGUAUUGGGUUUUGGGGCUAGGGUAAGGUUUAAGGUUUCUGGCGUUAGGGUUAAAAUCACUGUCCAAAACCUUUGUAGGAACUCUUUUCCAACCUUUUGGAGUUAGUUAGACCAAAAAAAAAUGAUUAAUUGAAAAAAAAAUAUUUGGGGUGUUCUGGCUUCCUGAAGGUAAUACCCGGGUAUUAGGUUAUGGGGCUAUAAUAAGGUUUAAGGUUUCUGGCGUAAGGGUUAAAAUCACUGUCCAAAACCUUUGUAGGAACUCUUUUCCAACCAUUUGGAGUUAGUUAGACCAAAAAAAAUGAAAAAUGAAAAAAAAAUAUUUGGGGUGUUCGGACUUCCUGAAGGUAAUACCCAGGUAUUGGGUUUUGGGGCUAGGGUAAGGUUUAAGGUUUCUGGUGUUAGGGUUAAAAUCACUGUCCAAAACCUUUGUAGGAACUCUGUUCCAACCUUUUGGAGUUAGUUAGACCAAAAAAAAAUGAUUAAUUGAAAAAAAAAUAUUUGGGGUGUUCGGGCUUCCUUAUUAGUAUUAGUUUAUGGGGCUUUGGAAAGGUUUAAGGUUUUUGGCGUGAGGGUUAAAAUCACUGUCCAAAACCUUUGUAGGAACUCUUUUCCAACCUUUUGGAGUUAAUUAGACCAAAAAAAAUGAUUAAUUGAAAAAUAAAUAUUUGGGGUGUUCGGGCUUCCUUAUUAGUAUUAGGUUAUGGGGCUAGGGUAAGGUUUAAGGUUUUUGGCGUUAGGGUUAAAAUCACUGUCCAAAACCUUUGUAGGAACUCUUUUCCAACCUUUUGGAGUUAGUUAGACCAAAAAAAAAUUAAAAAUGAAAAAAAAAUAUUUGGGGUGUUCGGGCUUCCUGAAGGUAAUACCCGGGUAUUAGGUUUUGGGGCUAGGGUAAGGUUUAACGUUUUUGGCGUGAGGGUUAAAAUCAGUGUCCAAAACCUUUGUAGGAACUCUUUUCCAACCAUUUGGAGUUAGUUAGACCAAAAAAAAUGAAAAAUGAAAAAAAAAUAUUUGGGGUGUUCGGGCUUCCUGAAGGUAAUACCCGGGUAUUAGGUUUUGGGGCUAGGGUAAGGUUUAAGGUUUUUGGCGUAAGGGUUAAAAUCACUGUCCAAAACCUUUUUAGGAACAUGUUUCAGACCUUUUGGAAUUAGUUAGACCAAAAAAUAACGAAAAAUGAAAAAAAAAUAUUUGGGGUGUUCGGGCUUCCUGAAGGUAAUACCCCGGUAUUAGGUUUUGGGGCUAGGGUAAGGUUUAAGGUUUUUGGCGUUAGGGUUAAAAUCACUGUCCAAAACCUUUGUAGGAACUCUUUUCCAACAUUUUGGAAUUAGUUAGACCAAAAAAAAAAGAUUAAUUGAAAAAUAAAUAUUUGGGGUGUUCGGGCUUCCUUAUUAGUAUUAGUUUAUGGGGCUUUGGAAAGGUUUAAGGUUUUUGGCAUUAGGGUUUAAAUCACUGUCCAAAACCUUUGUAGGAACUCUUUUCCAACCUUUUGGAGUUAGUUAGACCAAAAAAAAAUGAUUAAUUGAAAAAUAAAUAUUUGGGGUGUUCGGGCUUCCUUAUUAGUAUUAGUUUAUGGGGCUUUGGAAAGGUUUAAGGUUUUUGGCAUUAGGGUUAAAAUCACUGUCCAAAACCUUUGUAGGAACUCUUUUCCAACCUUUUGGAGUUAGUUAGACCAAAAAAAAAAAUGAAAAAGGAAAAAAAAAUUGGGGGUUUUCGGGCUUCCUGAUGGUAAUAGUAUUAGGUUAUGGGGCUAUGGUAAGGUUUAAGGUUUUUGGCGUUAGGGUUAAAAUCACUGUCCAAAACCUUUGCAGGAACUCUUUUCCAACCUUUUGGAGUUAGUUAGACCAAAAAAAAUGAAAAAUGAAAAAAAAAUAUUUGGGGUGUUCGGGCUUCCUGAAGGUAAUACCCGGGUAUUAGGUUUUGGGGCUAGGGUAAGGUUUAAGGUUUUUGGCGUUAGGGUUAAAAUCACUGUCCAAAACCUUUAAAAGAACUCUUUUCCAACCUUUUGGAUUUAGUUUGACCAAAAAAAAAAAAUGAAAAAUGAAAAAAAAAUAUUUGGGGUGUUCGGGCUUCCUGAAGGUAAUACCCGGGUAUUAGGUUAUGGGGCUAGGGUAAGGUUUAAGGUUUUUGCCGUGAGGGUUAAAAUCAGUGUCCAAAACCUUUGUAGGAACUCUUUUCCAACCUUUUGGAUUUAGUUUGACCAAAAAAAAAAAAAUGAAAAAUGAAAAAAAAAUAUUUGGGGUGUUCGGGCUUCCUGAAGGUAAUACCCGGGUAUUAGGUUAUGGGGCUAGGGUAAGGUUUAAGAUUUUUGCCGUGAGGGUUAAAAUCAGUGUCCAAAACCUUUGUAGGAACUCUUUUCCAACCUUUUGGAGUUAGCUAGACCAAAAAAAAAAAAUGAAAAAUGAAAAAAAAAUAUUUGGGGUGUUCGGGCUUCCUUAUUAGUAUUAGGUUAUGGGGCUUUGGAAAGGUUUAAGGUUUUUGGUGUUAGGGUUAAAAUCACAGUCCAAAACCUUUGUAGGAACAUGUUUCAGACCUUUUGGAGUUGGUUACACAAAAAAAAAUGUAAAAUGAAAAAAAAAAUAUUUGGGGUGUUCGGGCUUCCUGAAGGUAAUACCCUGGUAUUAGGUUAUGGGGCUAUGGUAAGGUUUAAGGUUUUUGGCGUUAGAGUUAAAAUCAGUGUCCAAAACCUUUUUUGGAACAUGUUUCAGACCUUUGGGAAUAAGUUAGACCAAAAAAAAAUGAAAAAUGAAAAAAAAAUAUUUGGGGUUUUCGGUCUUCCUGAAGGUAAUACCCAGGUAUUAGGUUUUGGGGCUAGGGUAAGGUUUAAGGUUUUUGGCGUUAGGGUUAAAAUCAAUGUCCAAAACCUUUGUAGGAACUCUUUUCCAACCUUUUGGAGUUAGUUAGACCACAAAAUAAUGUAAAAUGAAAAAAAAUAUAUUUGGGGUCUUCGGGCUUCCUGAAGGUAAUACCCGGGUAUUAGGUCAUGGGGCUAGGGUAAGGUUUAAGGUUUUUGGCGUUAGGGUUAAAAUUGACUGUCCAAAACCUUUUAGGAACUCUUUUCAGACCUUUUGGAGUUGGUUAGACCAAAAAAAAAAGAAAAAUGAAAAAAGGAAUAUUUGGGGUGUUCGGGCUUCCUGAAGGUAAUACCCGGGUAUUAGGUUAAUGGGGCUAUGGUAAGGUUCAAGGUUUUUGGCGUUAGGGUUAAAAUCACUGUCCAAAAGCUUUUUAGGAACAUGUUUCAGACCUUUUGGAGUUGGUUACACCAAAAAAAAAUGUAAAAUGAAAAAAUAUAUAUUUGGGGUGUUCGGGCUUCCUGAAGGUAAUACCCGGGUAUUGGGUUUUGGGGCUAGGGUAAGGUUUAAGGUUUUUGGCGUUAGGGUUAAAAUCACUGUCCAAAACCUUUGUAGGAACUCUGUUCCAACCUUUUUGAGUUAUUUAGACCAAAAAAAAAUGAAAAAUGAAAAAAAAAUAUUUGGGGUGUUCAGGCUUCCUGAAGGUAAUACCCGGGUAUUAGGUUUUGGGGCUAGGGUAAGGUUUAAGGUUUUUGGCGUUAGGGUUAAAAUCACAGUCCAAAACCUUUGUAGGAACAUGUUUCAGACCUUUUGGAGUUGGUUACACAAAAAAAAAUGUAAAAUGAAAAAAAAAAUAUUUGGGGUGUUCGGGCUUCCUGAAGGUAAUACCCUGGUAUUAGGUUAUGGGGCUAUGGUAAGGUUUAAGGUUUUUGGCGUUAGGGUUAAAAUCACUGUCCAAAACCUUUUAGGAACAUGUUUCAGACCUUUUGGAGUUAAGUUAGACCAAAAAAAAAUGAAAAAUGAAAAAAAAAUAUUUGGGGUUUCGGCUUCCUGAAGGUAAUACCCGGGUAUUAGGUUUUGGGGCUAGGGUAAGGUUUAAGGUUUUUGGCGUUAGGGUUAAAAUCAAUGUCCAAAACCUUUGUAGGAACUCUUUUCCAACCUUUUGGAGUUAGUUAGACCAAAAAAAAAUGAAAAAUGAAAAAAAAAUAUUUGGGGUCUUCGGGCUUCCUGAAGGUAAUACCCGGGUAUUGGGUUAUGGGGCUAGGGUAAGGUUUAAGGUUUUUGGCGUUAGGGUUAAAAUCACUGUCCAAAACCUCUUUAGAGACAUGUUUCAGACCUUUUGGAGUUGGUUACACCAAAAAAAAAAGAAAAAUGAAAAAGGAAUAUUUGGGGUGUUCGGGCUUCCUGAAAGUAAUACCCGGGUAUUAGGUUUUGGGGCUAGGGUAAGGUUUAAGGUAUUUGGCGUAGGGUUAAAAUCACUGUCCAAAACCUUUUUAGGAACCUGUUUCAGACCUUCUGGAGUUGGUUACACCAAAAAAAAUGUAAAAUGAAAAAAAGAUAUUUGGGGUGUUCGGGCUUCCUGAAGGUAAUACCCGGGUAUUAGUUCAUGGGGCUAUGGUAAGGUUUAAGGUUUUUGGCGUUAGAGUAAAAAUCACUGUCCAAAACCUUUGUAGGAACUCUUUUCCAACCUUUUGGAGUUAGUUAGACCAAAAAAAAAAUGAAAAAUGAAAAAAAAAUAUUGGGGGUUUUUGGGCUUCCUGAAGGUAAUACCCGGGUAUUAGGUUAUGGGGCUAGGGUAAGGUUUAAGGUUUUUGGCGUUAGGGUUAAAAUUACUGUCCAAAACCUUUGUAGGAACUCUUUUCCAACCUUUUGGAGUUAGUUAGACCAAAAAAAUAGAAAUAAAAAAUAUAUAUUGGGGGUUUUUGGGCUUCCUGAAGGUAAUACCCGGCUAUUAGGUUAUGGGGCUAGGGUAAGGUUUAAGGUUUUUGGCGUUAGGGUUAAAAUUACUGUCCAAAACCUUUGAAGGAACUCUUUUCCAACCUUUUGGAGUUAGUUAGACAAGAAAAAAAAGAAAAAAGGAAAAAAAAUAUUUGGGGUGUUCUGGCUUCCUGAAGGUAAUACCCAGGUAUUAGGUUAUGGGGCUAGGGUAAGGUUUAAGGUUUUUGGCGUUAGGGUUAAAAUCACUGUCCAAAACCUUUGUAGGAACUCUGUUUCCAACCUUUGGAGUUGGUUAGACCAAAAAAAAUGAAAAAUGAAAAAAAGAUAUUUGGGGUGUUCGGGCUUCCUGAAGGUAAUACCCGGGUAUUAGGUCAUGGGGUGUGGGUAAGGUUUAAGGUUUUUGGCGUUAGGGUUAAAAUCACUGUCCAAAAUCUUUUUAGGAACAUGUUUCAGACCUUUUGGAGUUAGUUAGACCAAAAAAAAAGAACAAAGAAAAAAAUUAAUUGGGGGUUUUCGGGCUUCCUGAUGGUAAUACCCGGGUAUUAGGUUUUGGGGCUAGGGUAAGGUUUAAGGUAUUUGGCGUUAGGGUUAAAAUCACUGUCCGAAACCUUUGUAGGAACUCGUUUCCAACCUUUUGGAGUUAGACCAAAAAAAAAUGAAAAAUGAAAAAUAUAUAUUUGGGUUUUUUGGGCUUCCUGACGGUCAUUCCCGGCUAUUAGGUUAUGGGGCUAGGGUAAGGUUUAAGGUUUUUGGCGUGAGGGUUAAAAUCACUGUCCAAAACCUUUGUAGGAACUCUUUUCCAACCUUUUGGAGUUAGUUAGACCAAAAAAAAAGAUAAAAGAAAAAAAAAUAGUUGGGGAUUUCGCGCUUCCUGAAGGUAAUACCCGGGUAUUAGGUUAUGGGGCUAUGGUAAGGUUUAAGGUUUUUGGCGUUAGGGUUAAAAUCACUGUCCAAAACCUUUGUAGGAACUCUUUUCCAACCUUUUGGAGUUAGUUAGACCAAAAAAAAGAAAAAUGAAAAAAAAUAUUUGGGGUUUUCGGGCUUCCUGAAGGUAAUACCCGGGGUAUUAGGUUUUGGGGCUAGGGUAAGGUUUAAGGUUUUUGGCGUUAGGGUUAAAAUCACUGUCCAAAACCUUUGUAGGAACUCUUUUCCAACCUUUCGGAGUUAGUUAGACCAAAAAAAAACGAAAAAUGAAAAAAAAAUAUUUGGGGUUUUCGGGCUUCCUGAAGGUAAUACCCGGGUAUUAGGUUAUGGGGCUAGGGUAAGGUUUAAGGUUUUUGGCGUUAGGGUUAAAAUCACUGUCCAAAACCUUUGUAGGAACUGUUUUCCAACCUUUUGGAGUAAGUUAGACCAAAAAAAAAGAAAAAAGAAAAAAGAAAUGUGGGGUCUUAGGGCGUCCUGAAGGUAAUACCUGGGUAUGAGGUUAUGGGGCUUUGGAGGUUUAAGGUUUUUGGCAUUAAGGUUAAAAUCACUGUCCAAAACCUUUGUAGGAACUCUUUUCCAACCUUUUGGAGUCAUUUAGACCAAAAAAAAAAAAGAAAAAAGAAAAAAAAAUAUUUGGGGUUUUCGGGCUUCCUGAAGGUAAUACCCGGGUAUCAGGUUUUGGGGCUAGGGUAAGGUUUAAGGUUUUUGGCGUUAGGGUUAAAAUCACUGUCAAACUUUGUAGGAAUUCUUUUCCAACCUUUUGGAGUUAGUUAGACCAAAAAAAAAUGAUUAAUUAAAAAACAGAUAUUUGGGGUGUUCGGGCUUCCUUAUUAGUAUUAGUUUAUGGGGCUUUGGAAAGGUUUAAGGUUUUUGGCAUUAGGGUUAAAAUCACUGUCCAAAACCUUUGUAGGAACUCUUUUCCAACCUUUUGGAGUUAGUUAGACCAAAAAAAAACAAAAAAUAAUAAUAAAAUUUUUUUGGGGGUGGUAGGGCUUCCUGAAGGUAAUACCCGGGUAUUAGGUUUUGGGGCUAGGUAAGGUUUAAGGUUUUUGGCGUUAGGGUUAAAAUCACUGUCCAAAACCUUUGUAGGAACUCUUUUCCAACCUUUUGGAGUUAGUUAGACCAAAAAAAAUGAAAAAUGAAAAAAAAAUAUUGGGGUUGUUCGGGCUUCCUGAAGGUAAUACCGGGUAUUAGGUUAUGGGGCUAGGGUAUGGUUUAAGGUUUUUGGCGUUAGGGUUAAAAUCACUGUCCAAAACCUUUUUAGGAACUGUUUCAACCUUUUGGAGUUAGUUAGACCAAAAAAAAAUGUAAAAUGAAAAAAAUAUAUAAUUGGGGUGUUCGGGCUUCCUGAAGGUAAUACCCGGGUAUUAGGUUAUGGGGCUAUGGUAAGGUUUAAGGUUUUUUGCGUUUGGGUUAAGAUCACUGUCCAAAACCUUUGUAGGAACUCGUUUCCAACCUUUUGGAGUUAGACCAAAAAAAAAUGAAAAAUGAAAAAAAUAUAUUUGGGUUGUUUGUACUUCCUGACGGUCAUUCCCGGGUAUUAGGUUAUGGGGCUAGGGUAAGGUUUAAGGUUUUUGGCGUGAGGGUUAAAAUCACUGUCCAAAACCUUUGUAGGAACUCUUGUCCAACCUUUUGGAGUUAGUUAGACCAAAAAAAAGAUAAAAGAAAAAAAAAUAGUUGGGGAUUUCGCGCUUCCUGAAGGUAAUACCCGGGUAUUAGGUUAUGGGGCUAUGGUAAGGUUUAAGGUUUUUGGUGUUAGGGUUAAAAUCACUGUCCAAAACCUUUGUAGGAACUCUUUUCCAACCUUUUGGAGUUAGUUAGACAAGAAAAAAAGGAAAAAUGAAAAAACAAUAUUUGUGGUUUUCGGGCUUUCUGAAGGUAAUACCCGGGUAUUAGGUUAUGGGGCUAUGGUAAGGUUUAAGGUUUUUGGCCUUAGGGUUAAAAUCACUGUCCAAAACCUUUGUAGGAACUCUUUUCCAACCUUUUGGAGUUAGUUAGACCAAAAAAAAUGAAAAAUGAAAAAAAAAUAUUUGGGGUGUUCGGGCUUCCUGAAGGUAAUACCUGGUUUAGGUUAUGGGGCUAGGGUAAGGUUUAAGGUUUUUUGGCGUUAGGGUUAAAAUCACUGUCCAAAACCUUUUUAGGAACUUGUUUCAACCUUUUGGAGUUGGUUUGACCAAAAAAAAGUAAAAUGAAAAAAAAAUAUUUGGGGUGUUCAGGCUUCCUGAAGGUAAUACCCGGGUAUUAGGUUUUGGGGCUAGGGUAAGGUUUAAGGUUUUUGGCGUGAGGGUUAAAAUCACUGUCCAAAACCUUUGUAGGAACUCUUUUCCAACCUUUUGGAGUUAGUUAGACCAAAAAAAAAAAAAAAGAAAAAAAAAUAUUGGGGUUUUCAGGCUUCCUGAAGGUAAUACCUGGGUAUUAGGUUAUGGGGCUAUGGUAAGGUUUAAGGUUUUUGGGUUAGGGUUAAAAUCACUGUCCAAAACCUUUUAGGAACAUGUUUCAGACCUUUUGGAGUUAUUUAGACCAAAAAAAAAAGAAAAAUGAAAAAAAAAUAUUUGGGGUGUUCGGGCUUCCUGAAGGUAAUACCCGGGGUUAGGUUAUGGGGCUAGGGUAAGGUUUAAGGUUUUUUGGCGUUAGGGUUAAAAUCACUGUCCAAAACCUUUAUAGGAACUCUUUUCCAACCUUUCGGAGUUAGUUGGACCAAAAAAAAAUGUAAAAUGAAAAAAAAAUAUUUGGGGUGUUCAGGCUUCCUGGGGCUAGGGUAAGGUUUAAGGUUUUUGGCGUGAGGGUUAAAAUCACUGUCCAAAACCUUUGUAGGAACUCUUGUCCAACCUUUUGGAGUAAGUUAGACCAAAAAAAAAGAUAAAAGAAAAAAAAAUAGUUGGGGAUUUCGCGCUUCCUGAAGGUAAUACCCGGGUAUUAGGUUAUGGGGCUAGGGUAAGGUUUAAGGUUUUUGGCGUUAGGGUUAAAAUCACUGUCCAAAACCUUUUAGGAACAUGUUUCAGACCUUUUGGAGUUAGUUAGACCAAAAAAAAAGGAAAAAUGAAAAAAAAAUAUUUGGGGUGUUCGGGCUUCCUGAAGGUAAUACCCGGGUAUUAGGUUUUGGGGCUAGGGUAAGGUUUAAGGUUUUUGGCGUUAGGGUUAAAAUCACUGUCCAAAACCUUUUUAGGAACAUGUUUCAGACCUUUUGGAGUUAGUUUGACUAAAAAACAAGAAAAAUAAAAAAUAUAUAUUUGGGGUGUUCGGGCUUCCUGAAGGUAAUACCCGGGUAUUAUGUUAUGGGGCUAGGGUAAGGUUUAAGGUUUUUGGCGUUAGAGUUAAAAUCAGUGUCCAAAACCUUUGUAGGAACAUGUUUCAGACCUUUUGGAAUUAGUUAGACCAAAAAAUAACGAAAAAUGAAAAAAAAUAUUUGGGGUGUUCGGGCUUCCUUUAGGUAAUACCCGGGUAUUAGGUUACAGGGCUAGGUAAAGGUUAAAGGUUUUUGGUGUUAGGGUUAAAAUCACUGUCCAAAACCUUUUUAGGAACAAGUUUCAGACCUUUUGGAGUUAGUUAGACAAAAAAAACCCGAAAAAUUAAAAAAAAUUUUUGGGGGGUGUUAAGGCUUCCUUAAGGUAAUACCCAGUUCGACCUGUCACAUGUUCCCAGUCGAGUCUCUUAGCUCAAUCUGCGUAAUGUGUUGGUAGGAAGUUUAAUGACUCAGCUCAAUUUGUAUGCUAUGCUGUCUAUCUUUUAGACUAUGUGUUUGUAGAGCAAUUAUUUUUGGAGGUUCAGUUAGGGAUUAGAGUUGGUAUGGUUAAGUGUUAAAAUAAUAAUAAUAAUAAUAAUGAUAAUAAUAAUAAUAAUAAUAAUAAUAAUAAUAAUAAUUUUUCUUAUUGAGAAGGACUAGGUGGUGUUAGUAGGGAGGGAAUAGGGUGAAUUUUAUCUAUAGGAGUAGGGUGCAUUAGUGCAAAGUCUCAGAGGAUGGGGGAGAGAGAAACAGGUUGUUGGGACUGCAACCAUUCUGCUUCUACAGGGAUUCGAGUGAUAGAGAGAGAAUAGAACUUGCCACAGUGACUAGCCAGAGAAACUCUCUUCACCUGGUGGUUUUCAUCCUCUGAUAUGAAAAAAGAGGGUGGGGGUGACUAAGCUAAGAUAGAGGUUAGUAAGGUUAGGGUUAGGGUUAGGGGUUAGGGUUAGAUUUAGGGUUAGGGUUAGGGUUAGGGUUAGGGUUAGGGUAAGUGUUAGUGUCUGUAGGGAGCUAACCAUGGCUAUUUGGAAGAAUUGAAAUUCAUUAAGGAAUACGACACCAGAUUGUCUAGACUCUGGACUCUGUUAAAGGUAGCAAAGCUAUGGUUGGAAGUAAUGAAAUUGAAGUAUAAAAUAUAAGGUUAGUUAUAAAUUGUUAUUGAUAAAGUAUUAUUUCAGAGUCAAAAGUGGACAGUUCCGUCUGGAACUCCUUCCACCCAGGCCUGUCUAGGCCAUAGACUCUGCUAAACUCCCUAAUGCUGUGACCUAAAAAUUAUUUAGAUUAAAUUGGAAAUAUUUAUGAAUCAUUAUUUAGAAAUUAUUAAUUCAGAGUCAAAAGUGGACAGUUCUGUCUUGAACCCCUUCCACUCAGGCCUGUCUAGGCUUUAGACGCUGUUUAACUCCCUAACGCUGUGACCUAAAAUUAUUUUAGAUUAAAUCCGAAAUAUUUAUAAAUUAUUCUUUAUAAAUUAUUAUUCAGAGUCAAAAGUGGAUGGUUCUGUCUGGAACCCCUUCCACUCAGGCCUGUCUAGGUCAUAGACUCUGCUAAACUCCCUAACACUGUGACCUAAAAUUAUUUUAGAUUAAAUCGGAGAUAUUUAUAAAGAUAUUUAUAAAGUAUUAUUGUUCACAGUCAAAAGUGGAUGGUUCUGUCUGAAACCCCUUCCACUCAGGCCUGUCUAGGCCAUAGACUCUGCUAAGCUCCCUCAAGGCUAUGAUUAAAAAUUAUUUAAGAUUAAAUUGCAAAUAUUUAUAUAUAAUUUCAAAAUUAUUUCAAAAUAUAUUAUUUCUUAUUUUAGAGUCAAAAGUGGAUGGUUCUGUCUGGAAGCCCUUCAACUCAGGCCUGUCUAGGCUUUAGACUCUGCUAAACUCCCUCAAGGCUGUGACCUAAGAUU